rnacentral:rRNA from 1 species
AUGCAUUGGUUUGCAUGGUGGAAAUUAUGCAUCCCGAAGAAUAAGGGUGGAUUGGGGUUUAGGGACUUACACAGUCUUAAUCUUGCUUCAUUAGCAAAACAGUGUUGGCGCCUACUCCAGAACCCUGAAUCUUUGUGUGCACGAGUUCUAGGUGCAAAGUACUAUCCUGAUGGAAACAUUCUCAUGGCAGGACCAAAAAAGGGCUCCUCCUUUACUUGGCAAAGUAUUAUAGCGGGUAUACAAACUUUUAAGAGAGGGUGCAUCUGGCGUGUGGGUACGGGAUCACAAAUCAACAUCUGGAAUGACCCUUGGAUACCCACAAGUGAUAAUAGGAAAAUCAUAACUCCAAGGGGAGCAACUAUGUUGAGCAAGGUGGAGGAAUUAAUUGAUCCUUAUACUGGACAAUGGGAUGAGGAUUUGAUCCGAGAAGUGUUUUGGCAGGUUGAUGUACACCGGAUCCUACAAAUUCCUCUCCGAGUGCAGCUGCUUGAAGACUUUGUAGCAUGGCACUAUGAUCGAUCUGGUACUUUUAAUGUGCGAUCAGCAUAUCGUGUGCAAUUUCAGCAUCAGUUUGGGGGCAGGGAGAAUCAACAUAUAGCACAAGGUAGCCGGCAAAACAAUAUCUGGAAACGUGUGUGGGGUUUGAGAAUUCCGGGUAAAGUUAAACAUUUCUUCUGGAAGGUGAUCCGGGGAGUUUUACCAUGCUAUGGAACUUUAGCAAACCGGCAUAUACCAGUCACGGGACAAUGCCCAAUAUGCCAGAUAGGAUACGAAGAUACACAACACUGUUUAUUCACAUGUAGAAGAGCGAAAGCUAUAUGGAAGGAGCUGGGAAUU